UACGUAGGGCGCAAGCGUUGUCCGGAAUUAUUGGGCGUAAAGAGCUCGUAGGCGGUUUGUCGCGUCUGCUGUGAAAACCUGAGGCUCAACCUCGGGCUUGCAGUGGGUACGGGCAGACUAGAGUGCGGUAGGGGUGACUGGAAUUCCUGGUGUAGCGGUGGAAUGCGCAGAUAUCAGGAGGAACACCGGUGGCGAAGGCGGGUCUCUGGGCCGAUACUGACGCUGAGGAGCGAAAGCGUGGGGAGCAAACAGG
rnacentral:rRNA from 1 species